rnacentral:rRNA from 1 species
GACGAACGCUGGCGGCGUGCUUAACACAUGCAAGUCGAACGGAAAGGCCCUGCUUUUGUGGGGUGCUCGAGUGGCGAACGGGUGAGUAACACGUGAGUAACCUGCCCUUGACUUUGGGAUAACUUCAGGAAACUGGGGCUAAUACCGGAUAGGAGCUCCUGCUGCAUGGUGGGGGUUGGAAAGUUUCGGCGGUUGGGGAUGGACUCGCGGCUUAUCAGCUUGUUGGUGGGGUAGUGGCUUACCAAGGCUUUGACGGGUAGCCGGCCUGAGAGGGUGACCGGCCACGGUGGGACUGAGAUACGGCCCGGACUGCUACGGGAGGCAGCAGUGGGGAAGAGUGCACAAGGGGCGGCAGCCUGAGGCAGCAUCGCCGCGUGCGGGAUGACGGCCUUCGGGUUGUAAACCGCUUUCGCCUGUGACGAAGCGUGAGUGACGGUAAUGGGUAAAGAAGCACCGGCUAACUACGUG